rnacentral:rRNA from 1 species
GAUGAACGCUGGCGGCGUGCCUAAUACAUGCAAGUCGAGCGAACAGACGAGGAGCUUGCUCCUCUGACGUUAGCGGCGGACGGGUGAGUAACACGUGGAUAACCUACCUAUAAGACUGGGAUAACUUCGGGAAACCGGAGCUAAUACCGGAUAACAUGUUGAACCGCAUGGUUCAACAGUGAAAGACGGUCUUGCUGUCACUUAUAGAUGGAUCCGCGCCGCAUUAGCUAGUUGGUAAGGUAACGGCUUACCAAGGCAACGAUGCGUAGCCGACCUGAGAAGGUGAUCGGCCACACUGGAACUGAGACACGGUCCAGACUCCUACGGGAGGCAGCAGUAGGGAAUCUUCCGCAAUGGGCGAAAGCCUGACGGAGCAACGCCGCGUGAGUGAAGAAGGUCUUCGGAUCGUAAAACUCUGUUAUUAGGGAAGAACAAAUGUGUAAGUAACUAUGCACGUCUUGACGGUACCUAAUCAGAAAGCCACGGCUAACUACGUG